rnacentral:lncRNA from 1 species
CAAUCGGGGCUUCCUUCCUCCUGCCUGGGGCGAAUCCGAAGUUGCAUCCAAGCUUGAGAUCUCGGCCAGCGGAUCGGGGAACCGUUGGACCACGGAGCUGUCUCAAGGAUGAAAGGACGCGGCUCCCGAGUGAUGGUUGCAGAGUCCUCUCUGUUCUUGGAGACCCUUCCAGACAGGUCGGCUCUUCUCGAAGCCUUCGGGAUCCGGAAACUGCACCCUCUCCCCGCCUAGCCUCGGGUGGUUCCUCUGUCACUACGACCCUGAAGUCUCAGCGGCGCUUCCCAGGCCUGUGGCUCCGGGCUCAAGAAAGUCACACACUUGCCGCUGCAGUUCCCGUCCCAGGACAGCUAGUGGCGCUCGGGCGCGGACUGCGGUUCGCUGAGACAAAAGGACGGUGGGGACAGCCUCUCUUGAGCAUCUGCCCUCACCUCCUCCCUGGACAGAACCAAACCCCCAAAACAAUAAUAGGGAUUACGGAGCCAGCGUGUUUACGAAGUAAGGGCCAUUAUUUGCGGGGGAGAGAAAUCCUAUGAUCUGAAAAGGGAGGAGGAGGCGAGGCCCGGAUUCGACAACUCAGAGGAAGCAGGCGUGAAACAUUUGCCCCUGAGAGGUGCCCCGCUUCCAGACGGAGCCUGAUGCUCUUGCUGGCAGGUGACAACCCAGGAAGGGGCCACUGGAGCAGCUAAUUCAUGAUUUACUGUCUGUUUUUUGACAAGUUUCUACUUUCCCCCUCUUCCUACCACGACUGUUUCUGUUAGUUAAGGGUAGUAAUAUUUUCAAAAGUUAAUUGGCC